GAUACAGAAUAAGAGACACACCUGAAGAGGUGGGGUGAGGGGGAAAAAGCUGAUUUAAGUCACUCUGUGCUUGAUGAAUCUAAGCCAAGAUCAGUGAUAACCACAUGGACGACCAGGACUCAGACAAGUGGAGAAACAUACUCAGGGUUUCACAGUGAGAUGACUCAAGCCAGCCUGCCUGCUGCACCAGCCCUGGCCAUGACCAGCUUACCUUCGAAGUCUCUGGCUUCCAGAUCCACCUGAAUGCCUGACUUAAACACAGCCUGGGAGAAGAAGAGAGAGAGCUGUGGAAGGGUCUGCCUAAACAUGGUCCUGGAAACCAGGAUCUGGAUAACCAGCCCAUCCCAGAACACCCUGGAUCUGCCAACUGGUCCUACCGAAAGGACUCCUGGGAGUCCAUAGGUGGCAGCCACAUGCAAGACAGAACGUCCCUGGUGGUCAGUGGCGUUAGGCUCUGCUCCCAGGCUCAGCAGGUCUUCCACAAUCAGUGGCUGGUUGGCAGCAGCUGCCACCAGGAGUGGCGUCUGUACAUCACAAUAAAAUCAGCCUGGACUCCCAGAGCCCUCCCCUCUGAAAUCAAGAACCCUCCUUCCCGGCUGCCGAAGUCUGGACACCUGGCCCUUACCUUGCCUUUAUGUUCACGAAUAUCCAGCUGUCGGUACAUCUGUAACACCUCUGCUGCAGCAUAUGCAGCCCAGCGCAGCCCCCGAGCAGCAAACAGAUGGGGUCAGUGGCUGGACCAGAGGAGGGGAGAAGUGUCCCUGCAAUGUAAAGAAAAUGAAUUUAUGAAUCUGGAAGAUUCUUCCAGGUCAGUCCCCCACCCGUAGAGCCUCAGAGUCAGGACUACAACUCCCAUCUCGCCCAGCGCACAUGGCUUCCCAUCCUAUACAGGCCUUCCAGAGACUCACCGGCACCCCAGCAGCCUCAGGCUGCUGCUGUCGGCGCCUCUGUUCUUCCAGAAGCUUCUUUACGGUCUGUGUUGGGCAGUGACUCCGCUCAGGCCGACUCACUGUGUGUGGGAAGAGAGAAGGAAGUCGUCAGGAAUGUUUAAGUCACCCGAAUACACCCUCAGCGGCAGCGGUGGGUGGCCGGCGUAGAUGUGGGCGCCCUCCUUUCCCUUGAGCGCGGAAAAACUGGAGAACUACAAAGCUACCAGAAGAUGCUGAGUGCGGGGCCCCGCCUCCGCCAUUUCCUUCCUUUCACUCCACGCUUUUCCUCUGCACCAACUUUCCACCACCGUAGUGGAAACUGGGGAACUGGGGAGGCUAGCACUUCUCUGAAGUAUCUAUCUUCUCCGGAGACAUCCCACUCUGUGAAGCACCACCACAUCCGUAAAAAAAUCCCAACCUAGGCUACCGGGUCCUAACACUCGGAGUGGAGGGUUGGGGUUUGCUAAUCUUAACUUCCUGAAAAGGCAUCUCCAGGUUCCUCUGUUCCAGGUUGUCUUUGUUUUAAACUAGGAGUAGAGGCACACCCCUGCAACCCUAGGGUGGUGGUGGCAGGAGAGUCAGGUGUUAAGGCCAGACUCAUCUAUAUUGUAAGUGAGAGGCUAGCCUGGGACCUCUGUCUAAGAACACCAAAAAAGUUCUAGAAUCUGACAUGGGGGAGUAGGCGCUAGGCUGGGUGAAUGGUAGAAGGUGAGCCUAGCGUCCUCAGGACAGAAAAAAGUCUUGGGAUCACCACUCUUUCUCCAUCUUCUCUGCCAGGAUCCACGAAAUCAGUAGGGGAGUAGCUCCUCAGUGAUCCAGGGAUCUGGAGUCUCAAAAGCUCCCGCCCCCACCUCGGCAGAUUUGGAAACAGCAGGGAACCACCACCCCGGAGAUGCCCCUGUAUCCCAUAGGCGCAAUUCAUUCAUCCAGAACCCAGGAGUACAGACCCUCAGUCUCCAAUGGGACCUGCAAAUCCGGUUCCCUCGAUCCAAGAAGAGUAAAUCCCUAGCUCGGACUUCCCAGCUUAAGACUCCAGCGCAAGAAGGGUUAAAGUCAGCCGGCGACUGACUCGGAAACCCUCGAGACGACACGCCGCGCGCUGACGUCACGGCGCUCUCGCAAGGGAAUCUUCCACCUCCCAGUUCCGCUCCGCACGCGCGCGCCGCAGGUGUCUGGCUCGGAGGCGGGGCACGCAGCGAAGCGCGGCGCCCGUGGAAUCCCCGCGCACGGGGAAUUCCUGUUCAGCCCCGGCACCCUGCACCGGCGGUGCGCUGGGAAGUCCCAGGGCGGGGCUGCUCUCGACCAGAGUGGACCCCUGAGGUCCAGCGCCCGACCUUCGAGACCCAAACCUGCGUCCAUAACCGCAACUCCAAGGAUGCAAUGCAACCCCUCCUUGGCUGAAGGAGCCCCGGUCACUUAGUCCUCUUAUAGAAUCUCCGGUAUCAGGCCUCACGGUCCUUGCACCCCAACCCUCAAGGUUCCAGAUCUCUCUCUUAAUGUCCAACAUUCUCAGAACUCAGAAGACCAGGAUCCCAGCCUCUCCUCUUCAGCCAGCUCCCUUAAACGUCGAAAACCCCUAAGUCUCAGCGCCCAGCUUUACGCUCAAGGCAACCCUCAAAUCACCCAGAAAGGCGCGUUCCUCGCUUUGCCCCCAACCCUUACCUCGAGGAUUCUUGGAUGCAGACUGUGGGCCCCCAGGGCCGCGGCCUCGGCGCUGCGCCAGCCUCGCUACUUCUCCCGCGGAGCCGCCGCCGGGUCCCCCGAUCCAAAGCCAGGUCCCCCGCGAGUUUUUAAAUUCGGCUUUUGGCCACGCCCGGUUCAAGGCGGAGCCCCGCCCACAGUCCUGGGAGUCCCGGGUGAAGCCGCAAAGCUAACUUAGACUAUGGAUGGGAGGGGCUGACCUUGAAGAGUGUCAUCACCAGGCCUUCCUGGAAGUCGAGCCUUUCCCUGGAGGGGGACAUGGGAACCUGGAAUUCUGAGUUUCCGGCCAAGGGGAUACUGGAGGCCUUGACUUGGCUGUGCAUAAGCAGAGCAGUACUGUAGGGUCCUGGGGAGAAGAGGACUGUGAGUCUAGACCCCAUGGCCUCUUGGAGAAGACCUUAGGGAAGGGCCAUAUAGGUGCCUUAAAUCUCUCUUUAACACGUGGCCGUUCCCUUCUUUAGAGUUAACUUUCAUUUAUAAAGCUUUUUUCUCUCCC